CGAACGCUGGCGGCGUGCCUAAGACAUGCAAGUCGAACGGUAAGACACCUUCGGGUGUACACGAGUGGCGCACGGGUGAGUAACGCGUGGGUAAUCUGCCCUCAGGUCGGGGACAACUUCGGGAAACUGGAGCUAAUACCGGAUGAGCCCACGAAGCCUUCGGGCUUCGCGGGAAAAGGUGGCCUCUCCUUGGAAGCUACCGCCAGGGGAUGAGCCCGCGUCCCAUUAGCUUGUUGGUGAGGUAACGGCUCACCAAGGCGACGAUGGGUAGCUGGUCUGAGAGGAUGAUCAGCCACACUGGAACUGAGACACGGUCCAGACUCCUACGGGAGGCAGCAGUCGGGAAUUUUGGGCAAUGGGCGCAAGCCUGACCCAGCAACGCCGCGUGAGGGAUGAAGGCCUUCGGGUCGUAAACCUCUGUCGGGAGGGAAGAACGUUCACCGGAUCAAUACCCCGGGGGACUGACGGUACCUCCAAAGGAAGCACCGGCUAACUCC
rnacentral:rRNA from 1 species